AUAAUGGUGUCUCUAGACACCACCUCUUCUUGGAAUAAUUAAGUUAU
rfam:Picea glauca, whole genome shotgun sequence.